UACGUAGGGUGCGAGCGUUAAUCGGAAUUACUGGGCGUAAAGCGUGCGCAGGCGGUUCUGAAAGUCAGCUGUGAAAGCCCCGGGCUUAACCUGGGAAUGGCGGUUGAAACUACAGGACUAGAAUCUGGCAGAGGGGGGUGGAAUUCCACGUGUAGCAGUGAAAUGCGUAGAGAUGUGGAGGAACACCAGUGGCGAAGGCGGCAUCCUGGACCGGUAUUGACGCUGAGGCGCGAAAGCUAGGGUAGCAAACGGG
rnacentral:rRNA from 1 species